rnacentral:misc_RNA from 1 species
GAUGAAGAACGUAGCGAAAUGCGAUAAGUAAUGUGAAUUGCAGAAUUCAGUGAAUCAUCGAGUCUUUGAACGCACAUUGCGCCCCCUGGUAUUCCGGGGGGCAUGCCUGUCCGAGCGUCAUUGCUGCCCUCAAGCACGGCUUGUGUGUUGGGCCGUCGUCCCCCUCCUAGGGGACGGGCCCGAAAGGCAGCGGCGGCACCGCGUCCGGUCCUCGAGCGUAUGGGGCUUCGUCACCCGCUCCGUAGGCCAGGCCGGCGCUUGCCGACGACCAUCAAUCUCUUUCUCCAGGUUGACCUCGGAUAAGGUAGGGAUACCCGCUGAACUUAAGCAUAUCAAUAAGCGGAGGA